rnacentral:lncRNA from 1 species
UCCUUACUGUGUGUUUUGGAGAGCUGCCAAAAUUUUGGCAUGGCGCCUUUAUUUUUAGCUCUCUAUUUUCAAAAUUUUGGAAUGGUGCUCAAAAACUUAACUCUCUAUUUCCAAAGAGAGCGUCGAUUAUCUUUUUCUCGCAGCUUAUCUGUAUUUCCUUUUCAGAAACAAAACCCUAGCAUCCAUCCUCCAUCCUGUAGUAGGCAUACGUGAUGAUGAUAGAAACCAUGAAAUCCUCACACAUGUUGUUUUUCAGUUUAUAUCUUAUAAGGUCUGACAUAUAUAUUUCGAGUCUCGCCUAAAUUUGAGAUUUAGAAGCAGAAAAUGAGAAGGCUAAGAGGAUGGUUAAGGACGUGGUAACCUACUUCUCCAUGACUUUGGGGGCUUUUGUGUUCUGGCAAUCCAUGGAUGAAGUCCACGUCUGGAUUGCUCUGCAUCAGGACCAAAAAGGUAAAAAUCUCUUCUUUCUCAUGCUGCAGGUGCAAUUUUUCUUUUAGAUUGGACUUAUAAUUUGAGUGAUUAGCAAUUUUUUUAGAGAAUUCGAUUGAAUUUCAUCACCUUAAGAGCAGAAUUGAGAGGCUUCUCAUCGAAUGGCUCAAUUAUGGUGGAAAAAUCCGAUUUUUAGGAAAUUGGCAUGAAAUUUGGUGGUAAGGAAUGGGGAGUUGGCGAUGCUGUAGAAUUGGGGAGGAAAUCAGGGGUGGGAGGAGAAAAACCAACCAGGUAUACCUCUGUUAUUUCGAUUAUUCAGUUGAAAGAUUGGAAUUUUUUGUUUAUGUUUGGCCAGCCUCUUAGUUUCAGCUAAACUUCUGCAGGAAAGCCGUUUAUGUGUUUACAAUUUUAGGUUUGUAGCUGAAAGUGGUGUUUUUUUGUUUACAUACAUCUUCGAUAAGAUUUUGUGUUAAAAGUGGCGACGGCGAACUCUGUGUGCGGAGAAAUUUUUAGUUGUGACGGGAACACAAGUGGUACAUCACGUGUUUUAAUAGGAGUGGUGAGAAAUUUUAUUUUUUAAGUUAUUAACUUUUUAGUACACAUAUCUCACAAUUUGUGUAGUAACACGUGGUAUACCACCCCGUGUACCGGUCACACCGAAAAAUCUCUCCUCUGUGCGGCUUAGACUAUAAUUAGAACAUUUCUGCUAUUGGUUCUCACUUUCGGUGUUUUGAUUUUUUCGUAGUGAAGGUGCCUAAGGAAAGGGUCAAGGAUAAGGAUGAGUGAGCAGAGAAUCCAAGCCUUUGUGACUUAUAUUCAAAUAUCUGCAAUGUGUCCGGCGGUAGACUGGUAAUAGUUUCAUGAUUAUUCAUUGAUGGUGUUAUUCUUUAUUUCAUAUCUGUUAUUUUUAAAGUUCUCCUUCUCUUUACCGGUUUUCAGGUUUUACUUGUGGAAUAAUAAAUGACAAGGAGCUUGAGGUACCUCAUAACUUUUUUUCAUUUAUAGUAUGCAUAUUUUUUAACAUGCCUUUGCAUUUGUUUAUUAUAAGUGUUCUCAUUGUCACAGAAUUACUCAUUGUUAAUAGUCCCUCUACUACUGUCUCCUUUAAAUUUUAUAACUUGUUGAUUUGGGCAGUUACUUGUGCAUUUGCCUUAAAGGAUUUAUUUUUGCAGACCUGAUUGGCUUUAGCUCUGUUGGGGAGUUUUUCUGUACCACUUUCACUGGGAGGAAAAAUGGCUGCCAUGAAAUUGUGAUCUAAAAUUGAUGCUUUCCAUAGACAAGGAUAUGAGACAAGGACAGGCCUGGCAAGCAACCUAUCAUCUUUAAUUUGACAUUUGUUUUCACAGAUACACACAUAUAUAUUCUUUGAAUUGUUCUGAUAUUGGUAUCCUAAUUAAACUUGUGGUUGUGUGGUUUUGGUGUAGUGAGAUAUGAGGAGUGAUCAAGGAGCUACAUAAACUGUAGCAAGCUGCAUGAAGUAGUGAGAUACAUGAAGGAGCUAUAUGAAUGAGUGAUGAAAAAGCUAUAUGAAGGAGUGAUUAAGGAGCUACAUACACUGUAUGUACAAAAGGGAAGAUGCUUUUACCUACACGUCUUCAAAAGAAUUCAAGUUUGCAUUUUCGAAGUUUUAGGACUAGUGUUAAUAUGUUCAAACACAUAUCUUAGGUUUGUAAUAAAUGUAUUGGCUUUACCAUAUUGAUCUUAUAUACAUUAGUUUUUAUUAAUGAUAAUACAAAAUAUUCUUUAAACAAUGCUCAGUGAAAUUUUUACCAAAAAGCAUAUAUUUCUUGCCUCAAUUUCCAUUGGAAAUGUCUAUUAUUAUUUUUUUUCUGAUGAAAAUAAUAUUUGUGACACACUAUAGUAGCAGUUAAGGGUUGAAAAUUGUAAUUGCAACGAUUGUGUACUCACAAAUAAAAGUUAUUUUGUUGGAAAAAAAUUUCUGACACAAUUAUUUGGUCAGAACAACAUCAUCGCAAAAAACAUGUCUUUUGGAAAGUAAUUUCGACAACUAUAUAAUUAUUUACUACCACAUUUCCAUGUCAAAAAUAAAAUAAGUUUGUCAUUUUGAAAAUUCAUUUCCGAUGAAAAGCUAACUACUAACGACAAGUCUUGUGCGUCGAUAAUAAAGUAUU